rnacentral:rRNA from 1 species
UACGUAGGGGGCUAGCGUUGUCCGGAUUUAUUGGGCGUAAAGAGCGUGUAGGCGGCCAGGUAGGUCUGGUGUGAAAACUCGAGGCUUAACCUCGAGAUGUCAUCGGAAACCAUCUGGCUAGAGUCCGGAAGAGGAGAGUGGAAUUUACGGUGUAGCGGUGAAAUGCGUAGAUAUCGUAAGGAAGACCAGUGGCGAAGGCGGGUCUCUGGACAGUUCCUGACGCUGAGGCACGAAGGCCAGGGGAGCAAACGGG